ACGGGGCGAACCACGGUGAAAUGACGGAUCGUGGCCCCGCGUCCGGCGACUCGCCGAAUGAGUUUCUGACCUAUCAACUCGAGACGGCGGGGUAGAGGCCCGCCGCGGUAACGACGGUAACGGGGAAUCAGGGUUCGAUUCCGGAGAGGGAGCCCCGAGAAACGGCUACCACUUCCAAGAAGGCAGCAGGCGCGCAACUUACCCUAAUCUCGAUUCGAGGAGGUAGUGACAAGAAAUACCGAUGCGGGACCCUACGGGUGCCGCGUUCGGAAUGAGUACGAUUCGAACCACCUAACGAGGAACGAUUGGAGGGCAAGUCUGGUGCCAGCAGCCGCGGUAAUUCCAGCUCCAAUAGCGUACGUUAAAGUUGCUGCAGUUAAAAAGCUCGUAGUUGAACGUUCGGGUUCCGCGGGACGGGGCCGCCCCGCGAGGGACGGCGCCGCCCCGGGGCUCGUGAUAUC
rnacentral:rRNA from 1 species